CACCUCCAACCCACACAGCCCUUCAUCCCCGUUUAUUCAGUCCUGGAAAAGGAGUUCUGUCUGUCCUUAGGAUGAAGCUUUCACUGAGCUGAAGGAAGAGGAAACGGCCCCGAAUCCUUGGAGGUCUGUCUGAAUUGGGGGCCCUGCACAAGUACAAGCCUGGUGGAAAAAAGUAAACUGCUCCUGCUCCCAGCAGGUCCUGCUCUGCUUGCAGCCUGGGGGAAACCUGUGAGCCUGAGUGGAAGUGCCUCGCCCAGACGUGCACACAUCCCGUUUAGGCAAGCCAGCUACACGCCCUGGAUCAG
rnacentral:lncRNA from 1 species